GGGCGUAAGGGCUCGCAGGCGGUUUCUUAAGUCUGAUGUGAAAGCCCCCGGCUCAACCGGGGAGGGUCAUUGGAAACUGGGGAACUUGAGUGCAGAAGAGGAGAGUGGAAUUCCACGUGUAGCGGUGAAAUGCGUAGAGAUGUGGAGGAACACCAGUGGCGAAGGCGACUCUCUGGUCUGUAACUGACGCUGAGGAGCGAAAGCGUGGGGAGCGAACAGGAUUAGAUACCCUGGUAGUCCACGCCGUAAACGAUGAGUGCUAAGUGUUAGGGGGUUUCCGCCCCUUAGUGCUGCAGCUAACGCAUUAAGCACUCCGCCUGGGGAGUACGGUCGCAAGACUGAAACUCAAAGGAAUUGACGGGGGCCCGCACAAGCGGUGGAGCAUGUGGUUUAAUUCGAAGCAACGCGAAGAACCUUACCAGGUCUUGACAUCCUCUGACAAUCCUAGAGAUAGGACGUCCCCUUCGGGGGCAGAGUGACAGGUGGUGCAUGGUUGUCGUCAGCUCGUGUCGUGAGAUGUUGGGUUAAGUCCCGCAACGAGCGCAACCCUUGAUCUUAGUUGCCAGCAUUCAGUUGGGCACUCUAAGGUGACUGCCGGUGACAAACCGGAGGAAGGUGGGGAUGACGUCAAAUCAUCAUGCCCCUUAUGACCUGGGCUACACACGUGCUACAAUGGACAGAACAAAGGGCAGCGAAACCGCGAGGUUAAGCCAAUCCCACAAAUCUGUUCUCAGUUCGGAUCGCAGUCUGCAACUCGACUGCGUGAAGCUGGAAUCGCUAGUAAUCGCGG
rnacentral:rRNA from 1 species